UGGGACUCGGGGUAGUGGCGCACGGGUGCGUACGCGUGGGAACCUGCCUUUAGGUUCGGAAUAACUCAGAGAAAUUUGAGCUAAUACCGGAUAAUGUCUUCGGACCAAAGAUUUAUCGCCUUUAGAUGGGCCCGCGUUAGAUUAGAUAGUUGGUGGGGUAAUGGCCUACCAAGUCGACGAUCUAUAGCUGGUCUGAGAGGAUGAUCAGCCACACUGGGACUGAGACACGGCCCAGACUCCUACGGGAGGCAGCAGUGGGGAAUAUUGGACAAUGGGCGAAAGCCUGAUCCAGCAAUGCCGCGUGAGUGAUGAAGGCCUUAGGGUUGUAAAGCUCUUUUACCAGGGAUGAUAAUGACAGUACCUGGAGAAUAAGCUCCGGCUAACUCCGUGCCAGCAGCCGCGGUAAUACGGAGGGAGCUAGCGUUGUUCGGAAUUACUGGGCGUAAAGCGCGCGUAGGCGGCUUUUUAAGUCAGGGGUGAAAUCCCGGAGCUCAACUCCGGAACUGCCCUUGAAACUGGAUGGCUAGAAUACUGGAGAGGUGAGUGGAAUUCCGAGUGUAGAGGUGAAAUUCGUAGAUAUUCGGAAGAACACCAGUGGCGAAGGCGACUCACUGGACAGUUAUUGACGCUGAGGUGCGAAAGCGUGGGGA
rnacentral:rRNA from 1 species